UGUAGGACAAUUUCUCAAUGCCUCGAGCAUAUUCUUCACACGCCUCCCUGAAAUUGUUAGGGAAAUCAGGCCAUUGAUUCUUCAGUUCCCUGAGCUCCGUAUCAUGGGGUUCAUGAGAAGCAGGCAAGAGAGUUGGAUUCUCCACAACAAAAUCAAAAACUUCUUUCCAAUCCCUAACAUUCUUGGUAUGCUCUGUAUCAUAAAACCCCAUAGGGUUAUCUUCAUCUCUA
rnacentral:misc_RNA from 1 species